rnacentral:rRNA from 1 species
ACAGAGGGUGCAAACGUUGUUCGGAAUUACUGGGCGUAAAGCGCGUGUAGGCGGCUAUGUAAGUCGGGCGUGAAAUCCCACGGCUCAACCGUGGAAGUGCACCCGAAACUGCGUAGCUAGAGUCCUGGAGAGGAAGGUGGAAUGCUUGGUGUAGAGGUGAAAUUCGUAGAUAUCAAGCGGAACACCGGUGGCGAAGGCGGCCUUCUGGACAGUGACUGACGCUGAGACGCGAAAGCGUGGGGAGCAAACAGGA